AUUGAACGCUGGCGGCAGGCCUAACACAUGCAAGUCGAGCGGAUGACGGGAGCUUGCUCCUUGAUUCAGCGGCGGACGGGUGAGUAAUGCCUAGGAAUCUGCCUGGUAGUGGGGGGCAACGUUUCGAAAGGAACGCUAAUACCGCAUACGUCCUACGGGAGAAAGCAGGGGACCUUCGGGCCUUGCGCUAUCAGAUGAGCCUAGGUCGGAUUAGCUUGUUGGUGAGGUAAUGGCUCACCAAGGCGACGAUCCGUAACUGGUCUGAGAGGAUGAUCAGUCACACUGGAACUGAGACACGGUCCAGACUCCUACGGGAGGCAGCAGUGGGGAAUAUUGGACAAUGGGCGAAAGCCUGAUCCAGCCAUGCCGCGUGUGUGAAGAAGGUCUUCGGAUUGUAAAGCACUUUAAGUUGGGAGGAAGGGUUGUAGAUUAAUACUCUGCAAUUUUGACGUUACCGACAGAAUAAGCACCGGCUAACUCUGUGCCAGCCGCCGCCGUAA
rnacentral:rRNA from 1 species